GCGGAAAACAGCAGACAUACGGCAACUGGAAGGUCCAUAUGAAAUAUACAGAUAGUCCACAGUAAUGAGAGCAGCCAAACGUUACACUGGUUCAACAAAUGCAUCGUUAAAAAGGCAUCUCCCUACAUGAAAAUAUUUGUUCAGCAAUCCUCAAGUUUCAACAUUUUCAUGUGCACCCUUUCAACAGUAACGUGUAUUUUUUGUUAUGAAACCAUCUUCUAAUGCAUGCUAAUAAACGAUGUCUGUGUCCCCAAGGA